CCUACGUGAGGCAGCAGUGAGGAAUAUUGGUCAAUGGGCGGGAGACUGAACCAGCCAAGUCGCGUGAGGGAUGAAGGUACAGAGGAUCGUAAACCUCUUUUGUCAGGGAACAAAGGCGGGGACGUGUCCCCGGAUGAGUGUACCUGAAGAAAAAGCAUCGGCUAACUCCGUGCCAGCAGCCGCGGUAAUACGGGGGAUGCGAGCGUUAUCCGGAUUGCUUGGGGUUAAAGGGUGCGGAGGCGGUCUGUUAAGUCAGCGGUAAAAGCCCGGGGCUCAACCCCGGCCCGCCGUUGAACCUGGCAGUCUAGAGUUGGCGAGAAGUAUGCGGAAUGCGCGGUGUAGCGGUGAAAUGCAUAGAUAUCGCGCAGAACUCCGAUCGCGAAGGCAGCAUGCCGGAUCCACACUGACGCUGAGGCACGAAAGCGUGGGUAUCGAACAGGAUUAGAUACCCGAGUAGUC
rnacentral:rRNA from 1 species